GACGAACGCUGGCGGCGUGCCUAAUACAUGCAAGUCGAGCGGAUGACGGAGGAGCUUGCUCCUCUAGAUUCAGCGGCGGACGGGUGAGUAACACGUGGGCAACCUGCCCUGUAGAUUGGGAUAACUCCGGGAAACCGGGGCUAAUACCGAAUAAUCCUUCGGACCUCAUGGUCCGAUGUUGAAAGACGGUUUCGGCUGUCACUACAGGAGGGGCCCGCGGCGCAUUAGCUAGUUGGUGAGGUAACGGCUCACCAAGGCCACGAUGCGUAGCCGACCUGAGAGGGUGAUCGGCCACACUGGGACUGAGACACGGCCCAGACUCCUACGGGAGGCAGCAGUAGGGAAUCUUCCACAAUGGACGAAAGUCUGAUGGAGCAACGCCGCGUGAGUGAAGAAGGUUCUCGGAUCGUAAAACUCUGUUGUGAGGGAAGAACAAGUACCGGAGUAACUGCCGGUGCCUUGACGGUACCUCAUUAGAAAGCCACGGCUAACUACGUGCCAGCAGCCGCAGUAAGAC
rnacentral:rRNA from 1 species